AGUUGGGGAGAGACUUGCUGCUGACGAUCUUUAUUGUUUUUAGAUUUUAUUUUAUAUUUUCAUCUUCAAGCAACAUACACCACGGGGCCUUAUCCUGUAGAUGUCUAGUUAACUCGUUCCUAACCAAGACAAAGAGGUUAGUAUUGAGUCCAUAUCUCUUUGCUUUGAUUUUAGAGGAGUUAACUAGGCAUCUAUAGGAUGAGGCCUUGUGGUGUAUGUUGUGUGAGGAUGACAUAGUUUUGAUUAAUAAGAUUAGAGAUGGUAUAAACACAAAUUUAGAACU
rnacentral:pre_miRNA from 1 species